AGUCAAGAGAGUUUUAUUGUCAUUUGUCCCAGAUAGGACAAUGAAAUUCUUGCUUGCUGCAGCACAACAGAAUAAGUAAGCAUAAUACUGAACAGGAGAUAAAAGUUCAAUGUGUCUAUAUACCAUAGACCAUAUA